rnacentral:rRNA from 1 species
GUGAGGAAUAUUGGUCAAUGGGCGGGAGCCUGAACCAGCCAAGUCGCGUGAAGGAAGAGGGAUCUAUGGUUCGUAAACUUCUUUUGCAGGGGAAUAAAGUGCAGGACGUGUCCUGUUUUGUAUGUACCCUGAGAAUAAGGAUCGGCUAACUCCGUGCCAGCAGCCGCGGUAAUACGGAGGAUCCGAGCGUUAUCCGGAUUUAUUGGGUUUAAAGGGUGCGUAGGUGGUUUGAUAAGUCAGCGGUGAAAGUUUGCAGCUUAACCGUAAAAAUGCCGUUGAAACUGUCGGACUUGAGUGUAAAUGAGGUAGGCGGAAUGCGUGGUGUAGCGGUGAAAUGCAUAGAUAUCACGCAGAACUCCGAUUGCGAAGGCAGCUUACUAAGCUACAACUGACACUGAAGCACGAAAGCGUGGGGAUCAAACAGGAUUAGAUACCCGGGUAGUCC